AUACGGAGGGUGCGAGCGUUAAUCGGAAUUACUGGGCGUAAAGCGUACGUAGGCGGUUGGUUAAGUUAGAUGUGAAAGCCCCGGGCUUAACCUGGGAACUGCAUGUAAACUGGCGAACUAGAGUUGAGUAGAGGGGAGUGGAAUUUCAGGUGUAGCGGUGAAAUGCGUAGAGAUCUGAAGGAACACCAGUGGCGAAGGCGACUCCCUGGACUCGAACUGACGCUGAGGUACGAAAGCGUGGGUAGCAAACGGGAUUAGAAACCCUAGUAGUCC
rnacentral:rRNA from 1 species